CAAAAACAGCCAUGGAAGCCACUGAAGUUUAAUUCAACAUCUGUUUAUCUUUUUAAAGAUUUUCUUCUGAAAAAAAAAUACAAAAUUGAUUGCCCACUUCCCAUAUCCAAAACCCAGAAAGCUUGGAUUUUUUCAGGUAUUUUUGUACUGAAUUUUUUCUGGGUUUGGUUUUGUUUAAUUUGUUAUGAGAUCUGAUUUUUUUGUUAUUUUUUUUCAGGUGGGAGGUUUUUGAAAAAUAGGGUGGGAAAAAAGGGAAGAUGUUGAGGAAUAGAUCUAGAGCUGUAAGUGGAAAACAAGCAUUAAUGGCAGAAAAUCAAGUUUCA
rnacentral:lncRNA from 1 species